rnacentral:rRNA from 1 species
CAGCAGUAGCCGCGGGAAUACCGAGGGUGCGAGCGUUAAUCGGAUUUACUGGGCGUAAAGCGUGCGUAGGCGGCUUCUUAAGUCGGAUGUGAAAUCCCUGAGCUUAACUUAGGAAUUGCAUUCGAUACUGGGAAGCUAGAGUAUGGGAGAGGAUGGUAGAAUUCCAGGUGUAGCGGUGAAAUGCGUAGAGAUCUGGAGGAAUACCGAUGGCGAAGGCAGCCAUCUGGCCUAACACUGACGCUGAGGUACGAAAGCAUGGGGAGCAAACAGGAUUAGAUACCCCGGUAGUCCCUGUCUCUUAUAC